GACGAACGCUGGCGGCGUGCCUAAUACAUGCAAGUAGAACGCUGAAGGAGGAGCUUGCUUCUCUGGAUGAGUUGCGAACGGGUGAGUAACGCGUAGGUAACCUGCCUGGUAGCGGGGGAUAACUAUUGGAAACGAUAGCUAAUACCGCAUAAGAGUAGAUGUUGCAUGACAUUUGCUUAAAAGGUGCAAUUGCAUCACUACCAGAUGGACCUGCGUUGUAUUAGCUAGUUGGUGAGGUAACGGCUCACCAAGGCGACGAUACAUAGCCGACCUGAGAGGGUGAUCGGCCACACUGGGACUGAGACACGGCCCAGACUCCUACGGGAGGCAGCAGUAGGGAAUCUUCGGCAAUGGACGGAAGUCUGACCGAGCAACGCCGCGUGAGUGAAGAAGGUUUUCGGAUCGUAAAGCUCUGUUGUAAGAGAAGAACGAGUGGAGAGGGAAAGUUCACACUGGA
rnacentral:rRNA from 1 species